rfam:Caloranaerobacter azorensis H53214 contig29, whole genome shotgun sequence.
AAAAUAAAGUAGAAGCUAUCCGCUUCUCACCCUAUGGCUCGGCUUAUAGGGUUAAUUAUGGAAAGGCUACAUUUAACUAUGUAUUCUAGGCGGAUAGUAUGUUUUUUACUAUCCGCUUUUAUAUAUUAAA